AAACUUCUGUGCACAUACAAGGAUACUUUUUUCGAGGAUUGCCUCAAGUUCUUAAAAGAAAUACCUUCUGCAGCAACAAAUGAUGCAUCUGCCAAUCCUUUCCAACAUUCCAGCUCUGUCAUGAAUCUUUAUCUAGAGACAAGUUCUACUCUUUUGAAGGUCCUUCAAGCCCAUUCUGGCCAACUCAUCUCCCACCAACUUUCUAAGGAAUUGAGAAGGUUGCAGGCAUCAUCUGUGCAUGCUAAUCCAAGACCGCAAAAUGGUGGAGCUACAGAUUCAU